rnacentral:rRNA from 24 species
AGCCCCUUGGAUCCAUAAGGGGUCCCGCCUGCCCAGUGGCUCGAAGCUAAACGGCCGCGGUAUCUUGACCGUGCAAAGGUAGCAUAAUCACUUGUCUUUUAAAUGGAGACUCGUAUGAAUGGCGAAACCUUUUUUGACUGUCUCUCUCUCCACCCUUCUAAACUUCUUUCCGCGUGAAGAAGCGCGAAUACCCUAGAAAGACGAGAAGACCCUGUCGAGCUUCAGCUAACAAGCGAACAAGCGAUCCUCAUCGCUGAACUUUCUCUCGCCCAAAAGCUUUGGUUGGGGCAACCAUGGAGUAAAUUCACCCUCCAGAACACGCAGAAGAGCACCCCUCUCUACUACCACUUCAAAGAACCAUAAAUUGGAAAUCGGAAAAAGUUACCGCAGGGAUAACAGCGUCAUCCCCUCUGAGAGUCCUUAUUGACGAGGGGGUUUGCGACCUCGAUGUUGGAUUGGGGCCCCCUUAGGGUGCAGAAGCUCUAAACGGUUAGACUGUUCGUCUAUUAAAGCCCU